GGGCCUGUGGCGCAAUUGGUUAGCGCAAGCGACUCAUAAUCGCUAGGUUACGGGAUCAUGCCCCGUCAGGCCCA